CCUACGGGAGGCUGCAGUGGGGAAUAUUGGACAAUGGGCGAAAGCCUGAUCCAGCCAUGCCGCGUGUGUGAAGAAGGCCUUCGGGUUGUAAAGCACUUUCAGUGGGGAAGAAAGCCUUGGGGCUAAUACCCUCGAGGAAGGACAUCACCCACAGAAGAAGCACCGGCUAACUCCGUGCCAGCAGCCGCGGUAAUACGGAGGGUACGAGCGUUAAUCGGAAUUACUGGGCGUAAAGCGCGCGUAGGCGGUCUGAUAAGCCGGUUGUGAAAGCCCCGGGCUCAACCUGGGAACGGCAUCCGGAACUGUCAGGCUAGAGUGCAGGAGAGGAAGGUAGAAUUCCCGGUGUAGCGGUGAAAUGCGUAGAGAUCGGGAGGAAUACCAGUGGCGAAGGCGGCCUUCUGGACUGACACUGACGCUGAGGUGCGAAAGCGUGGGUAGCAAACAGGAUUAGAUACCCUAGUAGUC
rnacentral:rRNA from 1 species